rnacentral:rRNA from 1 species
UACGUAGGGCGCAAGCGUUGUCCGGAAUUAUUGGGCGUAAAGAGCUCGUAGGCGGCCUGUUACGUCUGCUGUGAAAUCCCGGGGCUUAACCCCGGGCCUGCAGUGGAUACGGGCAGGCUAGAGGCAGGCAGGGGGAGAACGGAAUUCCCGGUGUAGCGGUGAAAUGCGCAGAUAGUCGGGAAGAACACCCGGUGGCGAAGGCGGU